rnacentral:rRNA from 1 species
UUUCGAAUCAUUCACAAUGGGCGAAAGCCUGAUGGUGCGACGCCGCGUGAGGGAUGAAGGCCUUCGGGUUGUAAACCUCUGUCACCGGGGAAGAAACGCUUCAAGUUAAUAGCUUGAAGCCUGACUUAACCCGGAGAGGAAGCAGUGGCUAACUCUGUGCCAGCAGCCGCGGUAAUACAGAGACUGCAAGCGUUAUUCGGAUUCACUGGGCGUAAAGGGUGCGCAGGCGGCCAAGUGUGUCAGAUGUGAAAUCCCGAGGCUCAACCUCGGAACUGCGUCUGAAACUACUUGGCUAGAGUAUUGGAGAGGGUAACGGAAUUCACGGUGUAGCAGUGAAAUGCGUAGAUAUCGUGAGGAACACCAGAGGCGAAGGCGGUUACCUGGACAAUUACUGACGCUCAGGCACGAAAGCGUGGGGAGCAAAAGGG